UGGACUGAAUGUCACAGCCUUUAUAACCCACACUGUGGCUGCAAGAAGAGACUCAAAGGAAAGACGAUGCUCCCUGCCAUUCCUCAGUGGCUGAAGUGUGUGGUCAGUCGUCAUUCGUUGAGCCCUUACUAGUGUGCUGUAACUCAGCCCAGAUCAGCGGCCUCUGUGCUGGAGCAGAAAUGGAAGGAAAAUUCCUGGGACUUUAGUGCUUCCUGCAGCCAGCCUCAGGCUUCUUCUGCAGAUUCUGAGAUGUAAAAAUCCUACUUCUGCUCCAAAAGGAGAAAAUGUGACUUGCAAGGAGAAUGAAAGUCUCAAAGAGGUACCUCUUCUUCUUCCUUGAAAGCCAUUGUCCCUUUUAUCAAUGUGACACAGCCCUUUGAAAAUGGACUCCUUGUUCUUGGAACUUGGCAGGGAAAAAAAGGCAGGGAUUCAUUUGCAGGUGAGUUAAUUAUUGUAUCCUGGAAGGAUGACUGCUACACCACAGCGCUGACUGGCAUUUGCUGCUUAUUAAGUAUGACAGUUCAUAAAUGACGCUAAUUGG
rnacentral:lncRNA from 1 species